AUUUUAACCCAGCGGGUCUGGGUUGAGGACGCGGACGUGAAGGAGAGCACGCACGUCACGUCAAGAUCGUACGUCUCCAGUGCGAGCAGCCGCCAUUUUCUCAGCGUGAUAGAAGCGAGAAGCGAGUGAAAGACUAUGACUUGUCAAGCUUGUGUCUUCAUUGUCCUCGCGCUGAGAGUUAAAGACACAGAAGCUGUUUGUGUGAGGAGUCACAGACCUGUGCGAGGAUGAGGAGGAGGUGUUCUUCUGAAGAGAGGGACAGACGGUUUAAGGAGAGUAAACUUCAGAAUGACAUUAAGUUAUCUUUAUUUUUACUAAGACUAAAAUAAUGUUGUUGUUUUUUUAGAUGUUGCAAUCCAGAGACAAGAUAACUUCAUUCUUUUGAGACUGUUAACUCAAACUAACUGGAGUUAAGGACACACAAGUGCUUGUGUGAGGAGGUGGUUUUCUCAGCUUCUUCUGAAGAGAGAGAAAGAUCGUUUAAGGCAAGUAAACUUCAUAAUUUCAUGUUAACA